rnacentral:rRNA from 1 species
AUGGGGAUGGCUCUAGCUCGCUCCUUGUCCGUUAUAAUCCACCGAUGCACGAAGACACAAACAACCUCGCAAGCCACCAAGACCAUCUUAGCUUCAAACCCAGUCUUCAUGGCGAACCAAGCUUUCCUCCACCUCGCGCUACUACUGCUGCUCCUCUGCAGCGCCACCCAAGGCGAUGAGCUGGGAGCAGAUGCGGUGGGCCGGACGGCGUGCCGGUCCGCGGACCUGGUGGUGAGGCAGUCGGCGACGGGGCGGGUCGUGGAGGGUAAGCCGGAGUACGCAGUGGAGGUGACCAACCGCUGCCGGUGCGCGCAGUCCAGGGUGCUGCUCCGCUGCUACGGCCUUAGCAGCGUCGAGGCCGUGGACCCGCGGGUGAUCCGGCCCGUCGACGGCGAGCGCUGCCUGCUCCGGGGCGGCCGGCGGAUCCCGAGCGGCGCGCCGGUGCGGUUCAAGUACGCCUGGAUGACGCCGUUCGACUUCCCUCUGGUCAGCUCGCAGGCCCACUGCUAG